UUUGGCCGGUGAUGAACUCAUAUUACCUACAUUGUCUGAUGCAAUCUGUGAUUUUAUUCUGAUUAAAGUUUCUGAGGCCAAA